GACUGCUUUUUAACACGUGGGUGAACCAUGUAUUUUUAUGUUGCUGCUAUAAUGCCAGUAAAGAUUUCUACAAGUAAUUUUAGCGAUCGUGAUCGAGCCGUUAUGGAUUCUAUCGCUGUUGACUUUAUUUUCAUCUUUAAGUUUUUCAGCUUCGCUGGAUUGUUACGCAAACGGCAAGGAUGCACUGAGGCAACCCGGAAAGUAGCAAUUCUAUUGUCUACGUGGCUACAUGGACACUGCUCUCACUGAUGUGAACAGGCAAAGAGCAGCUUUGGAAAGUUACACUGGACAGUGGUAUAUAUUGAAUGAGAAAUGAGCACAUACCACAGCACAUGGAUGGAUGCUGCAGGACUAGAAAUGAUCAAAUUAGUUUACAGCUUGGGAAAGGAAGGAGUGUGGAGGUACUUAAAACACUUUGAUCAGAGUCAUUCAUCAUCAGGACAAGGUGGUCAAUCAAAUGUGUGCAAUGUUGCGCCUCCUAAAACUCCACAUGUGAUUUUUACCUUAAAUAUGGCUCAUCUGAUGGACCAAGGAGAGAACGCAAAACAACAACAGAAAGGCAUGUCCGAGAUCAAAAGACAUGAGAUUAUCUGAUUUAGACGUCAGAAAACAUAACUAUGAACAAUGGCAAUCACUGAACCAAAAGCCACCCAGAACAUCCCUGCUUUUUAAGACUUUGCUACAUGUUUUGUUUUCCAUUUUAUGGUUACUGUCACCUUCACAGGGUUUAUCAAGUCUACUGCAGUCGCUCCUCGGUAAUUAGAAUCCCUACAGUAAAAGUAAGACAUACUGUAGUUUGGUUAGUAAGAAGCUUAUAACUAAAACAGUUAGGCUUUUAUGUGUGUCACAACAACACUUGCUGGUUUGUUAGAGCUAGUGAUUGUGAAUUGCUAUAUUGAGAAUUUUAUUCAGAAUAUUGCGGAGUGACUGGUAAUUGGCACCAUACAAGACUUUGUUUGGAUGUAUAUGUGUGUCUAUACUUCUGCGUUUGUGUUAAUCUUCCAGGGCAACUGUAGAUGAACCCAAUAAAUUUCACAAUAAUACAGUGAAUUAAAAACUAUUAGUAAAAAUCUGAAAGCUAGCUUAAAUGUUCUGACCUAUUAUAUUGAAUAUAAUCUAGAUAUGUGCAUUUAGAAAAUGUGAAAAUAUAUUUUUCUUGUUAAAUUUAUUUUUGCCUUUCUGAGUUACAAAGGAAAGAGAGAACAAGAACUAGUGUGAGGUAAGAGACUGCCACCAGCAGAGGCCUUUUUUUCUGAGCUUAAGUAAAUACCAGAUUGUUUUCUUUGUUGCCUGCCCCUCCAUGAGCCUCUGCUGAGGGAGGCAGGUAAAGAUAAAUACAGACAGAAGCAAGGAUAAAUGAGUCUUCAUAGUGCCUGUAUCAACAUAACUAAUCACACUUAUAUAUAUACUAUAAGACAUUAAAGGAAGUGUUGGAAAACCCUGUUGUGCUCACUUAAUUUUUUUAUUUUAGAGGGCAUUCACAAAUUGCCUUUGGAACUUUUCAGGAGGAGUCUUUCC